UAGGGAAUAUUGCACAAUGGGGGAAACCCUGAUGCAGCAACGCCGCGUGAGUGAAGAAGGCCCUUGGGUUGUAAAGCUCUUUAGCGAGGGAAGAGGGUUGAUGCGGUGAAUAAUCGCAUUGGCUGACGGUACCUCGAGAAUAAGCACCUGCUAAUCACGUGCCAGCAGCAGCGGUAAUACGUGAGGUGCAAGCGUUACUCGGAAUUACUGGGCGUAAAGCGCACGUAGGCGGAUUGAUGUGUCAAUUGUGAAAUCCCCGGGCUCAACCUGGGAACCGCAGUUGAAACUAUCUUUCUUGAAUACCUGAGAGGGUGGGGGAAUACCUGGUGGAGAAGUGAAAUUCGUAGAGAUCAGGUGGAACACCGGAGGCGAAGGCGCCUGCCUGGCAGUGUAUUGACGC
rnacentral:rRNA from 1 species